rnacentral:rRNA from 1 species
ACUCCUGCGGGAGGCAGCAGUGGGGAAUUUUGGACAAUGGGCGAAAGCCUGAUCCAGCAAUGCCGCGUGAGUGAAGAAGGCCUUCGGGUUGUAAAGCUCUUUUGUCAGGGAAGAAACGGUGAGAGCUAAUAUCUCUUGCUAAUGACGGUACCUGAAGAAUAAGCACCGGCUAACUACGUGCCAGCAGCCGCGGUAAUACGUAGGGUGCAAGCGUUAAUCGGAAUUACUGGGCGUAAAGCGUGCGCAGGCGGUUUUGUAAGUCUGAUGUGAAAUCCCCGGGCUCAACCUGGGAAUUGCAUUGGAGACUGCAAGGCUAGAAUCUGGCAGAGGGGGGUAGAAUUCCACGUGUAGCAGUGAAAUGCGUAGAUAUGUGGAGGAACACCGAUGGCGAAGGCAGCCCCCUGGGUCAAGAUUGACGCUCAUGCACGAAAGCGUGGGGAGCAAACAGGAUUAGAAACCCUGGUAGUCCCAUGAU